ensembl:lncRNA
CUACCACUACUACUACUACCACUACUACUACCACUACUACUAAUACUACUACUACUACCACUACCACCACUACUACUAAUUCUACUACUACCACCACUACUACUACCACCACUACUACUACUACUACUACUACUACUACUACUACUACUACUACUACUACUACUACUACCACCACCACCACCACCACUACUACUACUACUACUACCACCACUACUACUACUACUUCUACUACUACUACUACUACUACUACUACUACUACUACCACCACUACUACUACUACUACUACUACUACUACUACUACAACUACUACUAUUACUACCACUACUACUAUUACUACCACUACUACUACUACUACUACUACUACUACUACUACUACAACUACCACAACACUACCACUACCACCCAACCUAUUCAGCCUAUUCAACUACAACACUCAAAUAAAAUAUAUUCUCAGGUAAACUAUAACUGUUUUUACCACAUUUUAUCCCAGACUUGAACGUAUGAAAUAUAGCUUACUUGUUUUGCAUAUGAAUUAUUCUUAGUAGUUCGAUCAAUAUGUACAAUUAUACUUUAUGGAUAAACUAUCUAAACAAUGAAAAAUAUGUAUGUAAUUCACUCUACAUCACAAUAUCUGGCUUUGGAAUCAAAUAUAUCUCUCUAUAGCAGCCAAGGCAAUACGUAUGUAUACAUUAUGUUCAUAUAUAGUGAGUAACAAGGUCAUAUUAAGGACAUAGACACUGUAACAUAUAGCCAUGCAGUAAAAAAUGGAGGAUGAGUAGGAGUGGGAGGAGGAAGAGGUGGAGGAGUUGGAGAGGGAGGAGGAGGUGGAAGAGGUGGAGGAGUUGGAGGAAGAGGUGGAGGAGGAGCAUGAGAAGAGUUGGAGGAAGAGGUGGAGGAGGAAGAUGAGAAGAGGUGGAGGAGGUAGAGGAAGAGGUGGAGGAGGAGCAUGAGAAGAGGUGGAGGAGGUAGAGGAAGAGGUGGAGGAGGAGCAUGAGAAGAGGUGGAGGAGGUAGAGGAAGAGGUGGAGGAGGAGCAUGAGAAGAGGUGGAGGAAGAGGUGGAGGAGGAGGAUGAGGAGAGGGAGGAAGAGGUGGUUGGAGCGGGAGGAGGAGGACGAGGAGUUGGAGAGGGAGGAGGAGGACGAGGCGAGGAGGUGGAGGAGGAGGACGGAGAGAUGGAAGAGAGGAGGAAGAGGAGGUGGUAGAGGAAGAGGUGGAGGAAGAGGUUGAGGAGAGGAGGAGGUUCCUUGGUAAUGGUAAAAAAAAACUUAGAACUGGGGAGGAAGGAUAUAGAAUGUGUCUGUCUGACCACUUCAGUCAACCCAGAAGAGUCCCACUGAGGCAAUACUGGGGUGACGAGGCUGUACCAGGGUGACGAGGCUGUACCGGGGUGACGAGGCUGUACUGGGGUGACGAGGCUGUACUGGGGUGACGAGGCUGUACUGGGGUGAUGAGGCUGUACUGGGGUGACAAGGCUGUACCGGGGUGACGAGGCUGUACUGGGCUGUACUGAGUGAGAAAGUUACAGACGCACAAAUAUAAUACCCCCUCUCAAAAAUGCAUGUCUUGGGGGUAUGCUAACCUCCCCUGUUAUUGUAAUGGUGAGAGGUUAGCAUGUCUUGGGGGUAUGCUAACC